rnacentral:rRNA from 1 species
GUGCCAGCAGCCGCGGUAAGACGUAGGGUCCAAGCGUUGUCCGGAUUUACUGGGCGUAAAGCGCGCGUAGGCGGUCUGUUAAGUGCACAAGUGAAAGCUCCGGGCUCAACUCGGAAAUUGCUUUGCAUACUGGCAGGCUGGAGGGACGCAGAGGUCUGUGGAAUUCCUGGUGUAACGGUGAAAUGUGUUGAUAUCAGGAGGAACACCCAUGGCGAAGGCAGCAGACUGGGCGUUUCCUGACGCUGAGGCGCGAAAGCGUGGGUAGCAAACAGGAUUAGAUACCCUGGUAGUCC